AGUCCUCGCUGGUCUGCUCCAGCCGGCUGUGCACGUCGUUGGUGUGCAGGAUGCGGCACUGAACACAUUUAUUGUUGGUGGCUGUGACUUCUAUUUUUAAGCACUUCCAAAGAUCCUUCUGGUUGCUGAGGACAGUUCUACACUCCUGCCUUCAUAACACUCAGGUCAACCUGGAUCUGUAGCUGGCUUUCAAAACUCAGGACUGACUUUCUAAAAUUCCAGGAAGAAACUUGGGGACUCAAGUUACUCAUGAAAGAACCUGUCCUUGCUCUUUGACCUGACUCUUCACUACGGGAGAUGCUUGUUUCAGCUCGCACUUCUGCCCCAGCCAGAGCCUCACACUGAAGGAUGGGUUUUAAUCUCUGGAAGGCAGGAGAACAGCUUUAGGUCGUUUGGUUACGGAGACCGGGAAUUCCAAGAUGCUUUAGUAUCCAGCGAAAUGUAGAGGCUUCAACUUGGCUCAUGCAGGGGGUCAAGUGUGUUCCAAGGAAUGGUUUGUGGAAAAUGGUGUUUCAAGCUACGUCUCCAGUCUCAGGCAUUAACCUAUGAAGUGCAAGCUGUGGCGAGAAUCAACCUUCUAGACCAAAGGAAUAUAAUGCCAAAAAAGGAUGAAGAACUGUCAGACCCUUUAUU